GAUGAAGAACGUAGCGAAAUGCGAUAAGUAAUGCGAAUUGCAGAAUCCGUGAGUCAUCGAAUCUUUGAACGCACAUUGCGCCCUCUGGUAUUCCGGAGGGCAUGCCUGUUCGAGCGUCAUUAUCACCCCUCAAGCCCGGCUUGUUGUUGGAUGCAGCGCUUAUCCCGCUCCUCCCAAAGAUAAUGACGGCGUCUGCGACGACUCCUGUACACUGAGCUUUCGGGCACGUACACGGCUAGAAGUCCAGACCCGGUCGCCGUCCCCCCCGCGGGGACGCCCAUUACCACAAGGUUGACCUCGGAUCAGGUAGGAAUACCCGCUGAACUUAAGCAUAUCAAUAAGCGGAGGA
rnacentral:misc_RNA from 1 species